AAAUUGAAGAGUUUGAUCAUGGCUCAGAUUGAACGCUGGCGGCAGGCCUAACACAUGCAAGUCGAACGGUAACAGGAAGCAGCUUGCUGCUUUGCUGACGAGUGGCGGACGGGUGAGUAAUGUCUGGGAAACUGCCUGAUGGAGGGGGAUAACUACUGGAAACGGUGGCUAAUACCGCAUAACGUCGCAAGACCAAAGAGGGGGACCUUCGGGCCUCUUGCCAUCGGAUGUGCCCAGAUGGGAUUAGCUGGUUGGUGAGGUAACGGCUCACCAAGGCGACGAUCCCUAGCUGGUCUGAGAGGAUGACCAGCCACACUGGAACUGAGACACGGUCCAGACUCCUACGGGAGGCAGCAGUGGGGAAUAUUGCACAAUGGGCGCAAGCCUGAUGCAGCCAUGCCGCGUGUAUGAAGAAGGCCUUCGGGUUGUAAAGUACUUUCAGCGGGGAGGAAGGUGUUGU
rnacentral:rRNA from 1 species